rnacentral:rRNA from 1 species
GAGUUUGAUCAUGGCUCAGAUUGAACGCUGGCGGCAUGCUUUACACAUGCAAGUCGAACGGUAACAGGCCUUCGGGUGCUGACGAGUGGCGAACGGGUGAGUAAUGCAUCGGAACGUGCCCGGUCGUGGGGGAUAACGCAGCGAAAGCUGUGCUAAUACCGCAUACGAUCUGAGGAUGAAAGCGGGGGACCGAGCAGCAAUGUUUGGCCUCGCGCGAUCGGAGCGGCCGAUGUCGGAUUAGCUGGUUGGUGGGGUAAAGGCCUACCAAGGCGACGAUCCGUAGCUGGUCUGAGAGGACGACCAGCCACACUGGGACUGAGACACGGCCCAGACUCCUACGGGAGGCAGCAGUGGGGAAUUUUGGACAAUGGGCGCAAGCCUGAUCCAGCAAUGCCGCGUGCGGGAAGAGGGCCUUCGGGUUGUAAACCGCUUUUGGCAGGAACGAAACGGUGUCUGCUAAUACCGGGCGCUAAUGACGGUACCUGCAGAAUAAGCACCGGCUAACUACGUGCCAGCAGCCGCGGUAAUACGUAGGGUGCGAGCGUUAAUCGGAAUUACUGGGCGUAAAGCGUGCGCAGGCGGUUGUGUAAGACAGGCGUGAAAUCCCUGGGCUCAACC